UGUUAUUGUUGUUGUUGUUGUCAAAGUCAUCAGCCCUACAGAUAUCUUGGGAAGAGCUUGUUCCAGGGGGAGCCCUUCAGGAAGAGAAAAUAGCUAUGCAAAUCAAUGAAUUGAGAAACAUAAACAUGUUCUAGGCUUUAACACUCAAGCAAAUCUCAGGCUUCUCCCACUCAUUCAUUUUUAAAAGUCAAGCUGCAGGAAAUGGAAGCAGUUGAAUGUGAAUAUAAAUACGGAUGUCCUUAGAGAACUGCUGUCAUAAAUUACAUGAUCAGGAAAAGAGCAAAACAAUACAAAAGAUCAUAAUCUCAAAAUCUCCUACUGCCAUCACAGAAAACAGCCCUCCUCUCAAACUCUCUCAGAUCCAUCAGACAACUCGGAUCUCACCUUCUGAUUCAAAGAUGUGAUGCUCAUUUGUAUGAAUACUCCUUCAUGCAUAGAGAGGCUCAGCACCACCUAAUGGUGCUAUAUUAAGGUAACUUUCUUAUUUUUAACCUUUUCCCUGUUUAAAAUAAUCAAAAAAGUGAGAUAGCUGCUGUCUGCAUACCCCAGUUAUUUGCACAAUGGAUAAACUAAGAAAAUUAUUUAGAUGAAGUACUAUGAUACUGACAAAGAUCCAAAGAUUUCAACAUAAGAUGCCAGAUUUUCAAAUGCUUCUUCUUAAAAGUGAUUUAAGUAGUUAUGUUUUCAAAUAAUUGAUAGUUUCCCCAUUCCAACAUGCACUAUUGAGCCCUUAAAAAGAAUUAAGUAAAUCUACAUAUGUUGAUAUGGAAAGUUCUCUAAGAUACCUCAUGUGAAAAACAAGGUGCAGAAGAGUGUGUAGUGGAGUACCUUGGUAUAAAUGGUGUAUCUCUGUGUAUAUAUUCUUGUUUUGCCUAAAAGGCAAUAGGAGAAUUCACA